rnacentral:rRNA from 1 species
UUAUCAUCCCAUGGCGAAAGAGCUUUACGACCCUAAGGCCUUCAUCACUCACGCGGCAUGGCUGGAUCAGGCUUGCGCCCAUUGUCCAAGAUUCCCCACUGCUGCCUCCCGUAGGAGUCUGGGCCGUGUCUCAGUCCCAGUGUUGCUGAUCAUCCUCUCAAACCAGCUAUAGAUCGUCGACUUGGUAGGCCGUUACCCCACCAACUAUCUAAUCUAACGCGGGCUAAUCCAAAUCCGAUAAAUCUUUCCCCCGAAGGGCGUAUACGGUACUACUCUUCGUUUCCAAAGGCUAUUCCGUAGAUCUGGGUAUAUUCCCACGCGUUACUAACCCGUCCGCCGCUCACUCCGAAGAGUGCGCUCGACUUGCAUGUGUUAGGCCUGCCGCCAGCGUUCGUUCUGAGCCAUGAUCAAACUCUAAUCACUAGUGAAUUCG